GUCAAAGAGGUAUUAAUAUCAUGGUCAAACACAAACAUAUCAAAGAGGUAUUCAUAUCAUGGUCAAACACAAACAUGUCAAAGAGGUAUUCAUAUCAUGGUCAAACACAAACAUGUCAAAGAGGUAUUCAUAUCAUGGUCAAACACAAACAUGUCAAAGAGGUAUUAAUAUCAUGGUCAAACACAAACAUAUCAAAGAGGUAUUAAUAUCAUGGUCAAACACAAACAUGUCAAAGAGGUAUUAAUAUCAUGGUCAAACACAAACAUGUCAAAGAGGUAUUAAUAUCAUGGUCAAACACAAACAUGUCAAAGAGGUAUUCAUAUCAUGGUCAAACACAAACAUGUCAAAGAGGUAUUCAUAUCAUGGUCAAACACAAACAUGUCAAAGAGGUAUUCAUAUCAUGGUCAAACACAAACAUAUCAAAGAGGUAUUAAUAUCAUGGUCAAACACAAACAUGUCAAAGAGGUAUUAAUAUCAUGGUCAAACACAAACAUGUCAAAGAGGUAUUAAUAUCAUGGUCAAACACAAACAUAUCAAAGAGGUAUUCAUAUCAUGGUCAAACACAAACAUAUCAAAGAGGUAUUAAUAUCAUGGUCAAACACAAACAUGUCAAAGAGGUAUUCAUAUCAUGGUCAAACACAAACAUAUCAAAGAGGUAUUAAUAUCAUGGUCAAACACAAACAUAUCAAAGAGGUAUUCAUAUCAUGGUCAAACACAAACAUAUCAAAGAGGUAUUAAUAUCAUGGUCAAACACAAACAUAUCAAAGAGGUAUUAAUAUCAUGGUCAAACACAAACAUGUCAAAGAGGUAUUAAUAUCAUGGUCAAACACAAACAUAUCAAAGAGGUAUUAAUAUCAUGGUCAAACACAAACAUAUCAAAGAGGUAUUAAUAUCAUGGUCAAACACAAACAUAUCAAAGAGGUAUUAAUAUCAUGGUCAAACACAAACAUAUCAAAGAGGUAUUAAUAUCAUGGUCAAACACAAACAUAUCAAAGAGGUAUUAAUAUCAUGGUCAAACACAAACAUAUCAAAGAGGUAUUAAUAUCAUGGUCAAACACAAACAUAUCAAAGAGGUAUUAAUAUCAUGGUCAAACACAAACAUGUCAAAGAGGUAUUCAUAUCAUGGUCAAACACAAACAUAUCAAAGAGGUAUUAAUAUCAUGGUCAAACACAAACAUAUCAAAGAGGUAUUAAUAUCAUGGUCAAACAUAAACAUAUCAAAGAGGUAUUCAUAUCAUGGUCAAACACAAACAUAUCAAAGAGGUAUUAAUAUCAUGGUCAAACACAAACAUAUCAAAGAGGUAUUAAUAUCAUGGUCAAACACAAACAUAUCAAAGAGGUAUUCAUAUCAUGGUCAAACACAAACAUAUCAAAGAGGUAUUAAUAUCAUGGUCAAACACAAACAUAUCAAAGAGGUAUUAAUAUCAUGGUCAAACACAAACAUAUCAAAGAGGUAUUAAUAUCAUGGUCAAACACAAACAUAUCAAAGAGGUAUUAAUAUCAUGGUCAAACACAAACAUAUCAAAGAGGUAUUAAUAUCAUGGUCAAACACAAACAUAUCAAAGAGGUAUUAAUAUCAUGGUCAAACACAAACAUAUCAAAGAGGUAUUAAUAUCAUGGUCAAACACAAACAUAUCAAAGAGGUAUUAAUAUCAUGGUCAAACACAAACAUGUCAAAGAGGUAUUAAUAUCAUGGUCAAACACAAACAUAUCAAAGAGGUAUUAAUAUCAUGGUCAAACACAAACAUAUCAAAGAGGUAUUAAUAUCAUGGUCAAACACAAACAUGUCAAAGAGGUAUUAAUAUCAUGGUCAAACACAAACAUGUCAAAGAGGUAUUAAUAUCAUGGUCAAACACAAACAUAUCAAAGAGGUAUUCAUAUCAUGGUCAAACACAAACAUAUCAAAGAGGUAUUAAUAUCAUGGUCAAACA